rnacentral:rRNA from 1 species
CACCAUGAGGAGGGAGGUGUCGUUAAUAGCGGCAUUUCUUGACGUAAGUGCAGAAGAAGCCCGGCUAACUCCGUGUCCAGCAGCCGCGGUAAUACGAGGGGUGCGAGCGUUAAUCGGAAUUACUGGGCGUAAAGCGCAUGCAGGUGGUUUGUUAAGUCAGAUGUGAAAGCCCGGGGCUCAACCUCGGAACUGCAUUUGAAACUGGGCAAACUAGAGUACUGUAGAGGGGGGUAGAAUUUCAGGUGUAGCGGUGAAAUGCGUAGAGAUCUGAAGGAAUACCAGUGGCGAAGGCGGCCCCCUGGACAGAUACUGACACUCAGAUGCGAAAGCGUGGGGAGCAAACAGGAUUAGAUACCCUGGUAGUCCACGCCGUAAACGAUGUCUACUUGGAGGUUGUGGCCUUGAGCCGUGGCUUUCGGAGCUAACGCGUUAAGUAGACCGCCUGGGGAGUACGGUCGCAAGAUUAAAACUCAAAUGAAUUGACGGGGGCCCGCACAAGCGGUGGAGCAUGUGGUUUAAUUCGAUGCAACGCGAAGAACCUUACCUACUCUUGACAUCCAGAGAACUUAGCAGAGAUGCUUUGGUGCCUUCGGGAACUCUGAGACAGGUGCUGCAUGGCUGUCGUCAGCUCGUGUUGUGAAAUGUUGGGUUAAGUCCCGCAACGAGCGCAACCCUUAUCCUUGUUUGCCAGCGAGUAAUGUCGGGAACUCCAGGGAGACUGCCGGUGAUAAACCGGAGGAAGGUGGGGACGACGUCAAGUCAUCAUGGCCCUUACGAGUAGGGCUACACACGUGCUACAAUGGCGCAUACAGAGGGCAGCCAACUCGCGAGAGUGAGCGAAUCCCAAAAAGUGCGUCGUAGUCCGGAUUGGAGUCUGCAACUCGACUCCAUGAAGUCGGAAUCGCUAGUAAUCGUAGAUCAGAAUGCUACGGUGAAUACGUUCCCGGGCCUUGUACACACCGCCCGUCACACCAUGGGAGUGGGCUGCAAAAGAAGUGGGUAGUUCAACUAUUGUGGGAGGCACGCUCACCAAAGAGUAGUCUUAUUCGGA